AAAGUACUCCCUCCGUCUGGAAAUACUUGUCAUCAAAAUAGAUAAAAAGAGAUGUAUAUCUAAGACUAAAAUACAUGUAGAUACAUCCAUUUUUAUUCAUUUUGAUGACAAGUAUUUCUGGACGGAGGGAGUAGUAA
rfam:Triticum aestivum genome assembly, contig: Triticum_aestivum_CS42_TGACv1_scaffold_404776_5BL